UCAUAUAAUCUGAAUGUCUAAUAGAAUGUAAACCCAUUUCGUUGCCUUGAAAACGUAACGAAAGAAAACUAUACAACUUUCAACAACGGAUCUCUUGGCUCUCGCAUCGAUGAAGAACGCAGCGAAAUGCGAUAAGUAAUGUGAAUUGCAGAUUUUCAGUGAAUCAUCGAAUCUUUGAACGCACCUUGCGCCCCUUGGUAUUCCGAGGGGCAUGCCUGUUUGAGUGUCAUUAAAUCCUCAACCCCUCCGAUUCGUUUCGGUGGGGAUUGUACUUGGAGCGUGCUGGCGAAGGUCGGCUCCUCUUUAAAUGCAUCAGCGGAGAAAAUGCCUUUUGCGCCUCUGGCCGUUCAGCGUGAUAAUGAUGUUGCGCUGCGGUCGAGCUUAAGGUCCGCUUCCAAAGGUCCUCGGACAAAUAUACAUAUGACUUUUGACCUCAAAUCAGGUAGGACUACCCGC
rnacentral:rRNA from 1 species